rnacentral:rRNA from 1 species
AUGAACGCUAGCUACAGGCUUAACACAUGCAAGUCGAGGGGCAGCAUGAACUUAGCUUGCUAAGUUUGAUGGCGACCGGCGCACGGGUGAGUAACACGUAUCCAACCUGCCGAUGACUCGGGGAUAGCCUUUCGAAAGAAAGAUUAAUACCCGAUGGCAUAGUUCUUCCGCAUGGUAGAACUAUUAAAGAAUUUCGGUCAUCGAUGGGGAUGCGUUCCAUUAGGUUGUUGGCGGGGUAACGGCCCACCAAGCCUUCGAUGGAUAGGGGUUCUGAGAGGAAGGUCCCCCACAUUGGAACUGAGACACGGUCCAAACUCCUACGGGAGGCAGCAGUGAGGAAUAUUGGUCAAUGGACGAGAGUCUGAACCAGCCAAGUAGCGUGAAGGAUGACUGCCCUAUGGGUUGUAAACUUCUUUUAUACGGGAAUAAAGUGAGGCACGUGUGCCUUUUUGUAUGUACCGUAUGAAUAAGGAUCGGCUAACUCCGUGCCAGCAGCCGCGGUAAUACGGAGGAUCCGAGCGUUAUCCGGAUUUAUUGGGUUUAAAGGGAGCGUAGGCGGACGCUUAAGUCAGUUGUGAAAGUUUGCGGCUCAACCGUAAAAUUGCAGUUGAUACUGGGUGUCUUGAGUACAGUAGAGGCAGGCGGAAUUCGUGGUGUAGCGGUGAAAUGCUUAGAUAUCACGAAGAACUCCGAUUGCGAAGGCAGCUUGCUGGACUGUAACUGACGCUGAUGCUCGAAAGUGUGGGUAUCAAACAGGAUUAGAUACCCUGGUAGUCCACACAGUAAACGAUGAAUACUCGCUGUUUGCGAUAUACAGUAAGCGGCCAAGCGAAAGCGUUAAGUAUUCCACCUGGGGAGUACGCCGGCAACGGUGAAACUCAAAGGAAUUGACGGGGGCCCGCACAAGCGGAGGAACAUGUGGUUUAAUUCGAUGAUACGCGAGGAACCUUACCCGGGCUUGAAUUGCAACUGAAUGAUGUGGAGACAUGUCAGCCGCAAGGCAGUUGUGAAGGUGCUGCAUGGUUGUCGUCAGCUCGUGCCGUGAGGUGUCGGCUUAAGUGCCAUAACGAGCGCAACCCUUAUCGAUAGUUACCAUCAGGUUAUGCUGGGGACUCUGUCGAGACUGCCGUCGUAAGAUGUGAGGAAGGUGGGGAUGACGUCAAAUCAUCAUGCCCCUUAUGACCAGGGCUACACACGUGCUACAAUGGCAAGUACAAAGAGACGCAAUACCGCGAGGUGGAGCAAAACUCAAAAACUUGUCUCAGUUCGGAUUGUAGGCUGAAACUCGCCUACAUGAAGCUGGAGUUGCUAGUAAUCGCGAAUCAGCAUGUCGCGGUGAAUACGUUCCCGGGCCUUGUACACACCGCCCGUCACACCAUGGGAGUCGGAAAUGCCCGAAGUCGGUGACCUAACCGCAAGGAAGGAGCCGCCGAAGGCAGGUCUGAUAACUGGGGUG